GAGUCAGAGAUAAGGGGCAGACGAUGGCACCAGUGGGCUGAGGGGUAGCAAUAAACUAUGAUGGCAAUAGAGAAUCUGAGGUGAUGAGGGCAAGUGUGAGGUCAGACAUUUGAGCUGAGGAAGCAGUGCUGUCCGCUGUGUUCCUCCUCUCAGGAUGAAGAUAAUGUGGGAUGAUGGAGGACUGACAGAUGCUUGUAGAUGAUUCCCAGGGAGGUGUCUCUGAGAAACACUUGCAACCACUUCCCCAAAUUGUUUGCAAGGAUGCUUGACUCAGUUUUGUAGAGAACAGGAUGGACCAAGCUGGGAGAUGACUGAGGCCUGGAUGUCCCUUGUGAUUCUCAGAGAGCAGUGAGGUGAGGCCUCUGUGACCUCACAGGGUAAAGCCCCAUCCUAGUAACAGUAGAGUUUUUAAGCUUGAAAAAAACUCAGAAUCCAGCAAGGAGGGCUGGCAUUCACAGUGAACACAUGUGUCUGCCCAUGUUUGGGCUGUUUUGUGGAAUGGGCGCUACCUGAAAUUCAUCACGAAUAUUGGCCAUAGAUGAUGGCUAACAACAAAGUAGUUUUGGAAAAAUAUGGACUCAAAUGUAUGCUGUACUUUGAUCCCAAAAAGAAUCAGAUACCUUGACCCUGAAAAUUUGUAGAUCGACAUAGGGGGGCCUGAAAAGUAAUAGGCCAAGAAAAAAACCCCAAAAAAGUAUGUGUCCUGGCCAAACCCAGACCUUGAAGGAGUCCAUGUCCAAAACAGAGAUGCAGGUUUGGGCAGGUCCCUGACUAUGAAGAGGCCCAGGCCCAAAGGAAGUAGCGAUGUGGGCCUGGGCCUUUCCCUAACCAUUGAAGAGGCCCAGACCCAGAGAAGAAGCAAUUUGGGCCUGGGCCAAUCCUUGACCUAGAAGAGGCCUGGGCCCAAAAAGAAGAAAUAUGGGUCUGGGCCAAUCCCUGACCCUGAAGAGGCCUGGGUCCAAA
rnacentral:sRNA from 1 species